rnacentral:rRNA from 1 species
UACGUAGGGGGCGAGCGUUAUCCGGAUUUACUGGGCGUAAAGCGCGUUAAGGCGGCCGACAAAGUUGGUGGUGAAAUUUCAGGGCUCAACUCUGAAACUGCCUCCAAUACUGGUCGGCUUGAGUGCGAUAGAGGAAGGUGGAAUUCCCGGUGUAGUAGUGAAAUGCGUAGAUAUCGGGAGGAACACCAGUGGCGAAGGCGGCCUUCUGGCUCGCAACUGACGCUGUAGCGCGAAAGCGUUGGGAGCGAACGGG